rnacentral:rRNA from 1 species
GGAAGUUGACGGGGCCCGCACAAGCGGUGGAGUAUGUGGUUUAAUUCGAUGCAACGCGAAGAACCUUACCUGGUCUUGACAUCCCGGAGACCCUUAGGAAACUAGGGGGUGCUUCCAUCUGGAAGAAUCUGGAGACAGGUGCUGCAUGGCUGUCGUCAGCUCGUGUCGUGAGAUGUUGGGUUAAGUCCCGCAACGAGCGCAACCCUUGCCUUUAGUUGCCAGCAGUUCGGCUGGGCACUCUAAAGGGACUGCCGGUGUUAAACCGGAGGAAGGUGGGGAUGACGUCAAGUCCUCAUGGCCUUUAUGACCAGGGCUACACACGUACUACAAUGGCCGAUACAAAGGGCAGCGACACUGCGAGGUGAAGCCAAUCCCGUAAAAUCGGUCUCAGUCCGGAUUGGAGUCUGCAACUCGACUCCAUGAAGUUGGAAUCGCUAGUAAUCGUGGAUCAGCAUGCCACGGUGAAUACGUUCCCGGGCCUU